GAAAAAAAUAACUGAAAUUAUUAAGAUAAAAAUAACAAAAAGCAUUAUUCAAACAAUUAAAGAGAAUCGUGCCUAUAGCAUCAUAUUAGAUGGAACAUAUGAUGUGUCUAAAAAAGAAUGCAUAGCUUUGCUUGUACGGUAUAUAGAAGAUGAUCUGCAUCCACAUCCUGUAGAAAGGAUCAUACAUGUUUUUACAACAUCAGAAACCACUGGGGAAAAUAUAAAGAAACAUGUUUUUUCUAAGUUUAAUGAUCUUGGUCUUCCUCUUGAUUAUUUGGUUGGACAAAGUAUGGAUGGUGCAGGGAAUAUGAGAGGAGUAUACAAAGGAAUGCAGGCUUUAAUAUUGAAAGAGGCUCCAAAAGCCAUCUAUAUUUGGUGUCAUGCACAUCGGCUAAAUUUAGUAGUUGCUCAUGUUGGAUGCAAAAUUGAAAUGAAAAAGGCAAUGGGAAUAUUAGAUGAGUUAUAUAAUUUUAUGAAUGGAGUUAGACGUCAAGGUGUGUUUGUUAAAUAUCAAAUGAGAAAGUCCAAGAAAUCUCUUAAAAGAAUUAAAAACACAACAAGAAAUUGGUCAUCAUCCUACAAAUCUGUAGAAAUCUUUUUAGAUGUUUAUGAACAUAUUUUAGCAUCAUUAGUUGAAUUAAAAGAUUCUAAUGACCCAAGCACCUCUUCCAUUGCCGAUGGGUUAUUAUCAAGAAUUAAAGAUGAAAAUUUUAUAUUAAGUCUUUUUAUUUUGAAAGAAAUAUUGAAAUGUACACAUGAGGCUUGUAUUGAAAUGCAGGCAGUUGGUAAUGAUUUGGCUUUGGUAACCAAAUUAAUACAACAUACAAAAAAUAAAUUACAAAAACUAAAAGCUAAUGGAGACAAUAUAUUUUUAAAAUUACAUUCCUUAUCUAAUAGUUUUUUGAAAAAGAAUAAUGUAAUAACUGAUUUGUAUAAUAUGAAAUCAAUAUUCAAAUUGGAUCAAAC